UACGUAGGUGGCAAGCGUUGUCCGGAUUUAUUGGGCGUAAAGCGAGCGCAGGCGGUUCCUUAAGUCUGAUGUGAAAGCCCACGGCUCAACCGUGGAAGGUCAUUGGAAACUGGGGAACUUGAGUGCAGAAGAGGAGAGUGGAAUUCCAUGUGUAGCGGUGAAAUGCGUAGAUAUAUGGAGGAACACCAGUGGCGAAGGCGACUCUCUGGUCUGUAACUGACACUGAGGCACGAAAGCGUGGGGAGCAAACAGGAUUAGA
rnacentral:rRNA from 1 species